rnacentral:SRP_RNA from 1 species
CCGUGCUAGAUGGGGAGGUAGCGGUGCCCUGUAACCCGCAACCCGCUAUAGCGGGAUUGAAUUCCGUUUCGCGGCGUCUUUUCGUGGGGUCUUGGCACGGACACGUGGCGUUGACGA